CAAGUACCCUGAAAUGUACUUUAAAUAUAGAACAAAUAUUUGAAAAUAUUUUUUUUUGUUACAAAAUGUCAGGGUGUCAGGCUUCAAAAUGACAGUAAGGCUUAUUUUGAAAAGUUGCCUUAGAAUUAGAUUUAACUGCAUUUUGACAUGUUUGGCUGUUUGCCGUUGAACAAGUGAGUUUUGGAAAAUCUAAAUUUAAUUUUUUACAUUAAGGUAGAUGACAGGGAGUAAUGGUACACACGGAUGUCAGAAAUGUCCCAAUUAUGAAUGACUAAAAUAUUCUGUUGUUCACGGAAUUCCAUACAUUUUAAAUUCCAAGUCAGUAACAUCAUUAGGUAUUUGUAGCAGGGAUUCUUAAUGUGUGACUGCCUCAGGAGUUGGGAAAUUGCUCUUUGGGACUGGUACAAAACUCAUGGUUUAUUCAAAGGGGCCAGAAGAAGAGCCGAAAUACUACCGACUAGGAAGUAAAGGAACCAAAGCCUGCCUGGCGACGGAUUUCUCUUCAUACAAUGGGACCAUUGGGACGAUUGGGUUUUACAAGACAUCAAAAGCUUCUAGAGCGCCUGAAGAGGCGUUCUACAGCCAGGUGGCCGUCAACCCUGAGAGCGGUACCUGUGUCGAAGGUGACGCAACGUGUAAGAGGGGUUUUGGGCCAGACAAGGAGGUGACCUCCAUGUCUUUCAUCAUGCUGGUUCUGAGAAUCCUCUUCCUGAAGGCCGUCGCCUUCAAUGUCCUCAUGACCCUACGACUGUGGAUCCACUAGGUGAUUCUCUGGGAUUCAGAAAACCAUUGACCGAAUCAACUGAAGACAACUUUUUGUUCCCCCGCUCUGCGUUCCUUGGACUGUAAUGUAUGCUGUGUUAACCAAUGCUGGAAUCACAAACCAACUAGGUUGUAAAUGUCUGUGUUAUUUUAUAAAACAAACAAGAUGGGCAGUAUACCGGCACAUGCACAACAUCAUGUCACACAAACUUUCUGUAGAUGUAGUGUUUUGCUUUAAGGAAAAACUAAGUUUAACUCGUAAAUGUUUUUUUGUUUUUUAGUUCUGUGUGUUAUUGUCAUUAUGUGUUGUAAUGUCACAUGUACAUUUCAGAGUUAUAUAAGUCCUCACAGCUGUACCUAGCUAAGCUUUCAAAUUAAUUAAGUGUCAUAGAUUUAUUACAGCAUUGCAUCAUUUACUGAGAUCUGUCUAUGGCUUGUGUGUUGAAUGCGAAUAUAUAAUAAAGCAGUAUUUCAAUUAA